CCUGCAGCCACAGCUUUACCAUGGACAUACUCAGAAAACAACAAGGGUGAAGUCUUCAUUUUCAGAAAGAAGUUGAGCUCUGCGCUCGAGUUCACCAGGGCCACUUCCUGAUGAUGACAGUAAACAUGGAUGACGGUCUUCAAAAUGGACCUGGACAGCACAGGAAUACACA